rnacentral:rRNA from 1 species
GACGUAGGGCGCGAGCGUUGUCCGGAUUUAUUGGGCGUAAAGAGCUCGUAGGCGGCUUGUCGCGUCGUCCGUGAAAACCUGGCAGCCUCAACUGCAGGCUUGCGGUCGAUACGGGCAGGCUGGAGUUCGGUAGGGGGAGACGUGGAAUUCCUGGUGUAGCGGUGAAAUGCGCAGAUAUCAGGAGGAACACCGGUGGCGAAGGCGGGUCUCUGGGCCGAUACUGACGCUGAGGAGCGAAAGCGUGGGGAGCGAACAGG